UUAAUCUACAAAAUCUUUCUACAAAUCAAAUUAAAAUAUUGGUGUAAAUUGACUAUAUUGUUGAGAUACUCUUUCUAAUUAAUUAGCAAAUCAAAUUUGAUCAUCUUUUGGAUUUGUAACCUAAAUUUUCUUCUGAAUUAAUUAGCAAUCACUUCAAACUUUCAAUUUUCAAUUUUACUGAAGCUUCCCCUGCCUUCUCAUUCAAUCUACCAAGAUCAAUUCACGGAGUUUUACAGUUGCUGCAAUAAAUUUGGGGGUGAAUGAACUAAAAAAGGAGUAGAGAUGGUGAUGUGUUAUCCUUCGACGCCUGGAAAGCUGGCAGUGACGAUGGGAUGUUUUCUUGGUGGUAUUUCUUUAUUUGUUGUUGGUAUACAUUAUUCCUACAAGAAUGUUGCUCCACAACAAGCUCGUACGAAAGCUCGAAGCGAUUUUGUUAGGGAGCAUCUUAGGAAGAAGCAUGGCUUUGGUGAGAAGAAAAAAUGAGGCAGAAUGCCUUUUGCUUGAUUUUCUAGCUCUGUUUUUUCCUAUAUAAACAUGAUGAUUAUGUUGAUGAAUGGUAGCUUUUCUUUUGAUGCAAGAAUCAAAAAUCAAUUUUUUGCCUUGUAAUCUUUGAUUGACUUUUGAGUGGAAGUUGCAUUCGAAUACAAUAUGUUAAUCACUAAGCUUUCAGAUUUACAUACUUUUAUGUUCACCGAUGGAUGAAAAGUGGUGUCAUGGAUGUUGUAGGGUUCUCACUAGUGACAUGGUUUGCAGUGUUGUUUUGGUGCUAUGAUUGUGGUAGGGACGGGAGAAGUGGGGAGAUUAGUGAUGCUGUUAUGAAAACAUGUAACUUGCCUUCUCAAAUUGGUGUGCUGAACUAAAUGGUUGUUACCUUGUUGGAAUUGAGUUUUCUGCAAUGAGCUGCACAAGCAAAGUUUCUGCUCUUUUGGGUUGAUCUCACAAGAUAUGUGGCUCACAGAUGAUUCAAAAGGGCUCAUUACUAAAAGGAAAUGCAUCAACAAUGAAAGAUUACUCUCUGCUGAAGUGUGUACAUUAUCUGCCAAAAAAUUUCCUACAUUUUUUAAGCUUGAGGAAUAUCUAAAUGGCAUUGGUCUUUGGGUCCAGCCAAGAGGUUAGGAUCAGUAAUAUCUUAUGCUCUUAAGGGGUUUAAGUGCUUACUUAAUGCAGUUGACAGAAUGGGCACAUAAAGUCGUGAAGGUCCAGUUUUUAUCUUCAUAGAAGCUUUAAGAUUGUUGAAAAAGCCAUUACUUUACACACUGGUUCAGCUUUGUUUCUUUCUUGUUAUAUUAGAAGAAAUAGAGGGCUAUGUAAUGGAAGAGGAAAUGAAGAAGAAAGCAUUGGGUAGUGCCCUUGUUUUUCUUUCCUGUAUAUUAGUUUAAGAAGUGGGAAUACAAUCGUUUAUAUUAUUUGAA